CUCUCUCUCUACACAUUAAAACUCUGAGCUUAGAGUUGCCAUUUAAAUUUCUUUUCAGCACGCCGGCAUUUAUUUACACUUGUAGUUACACAGUGCUUUGAAUCGCAGAGUUGUUACCGCUAUCUGCAAUGGAAUCUACACAGCAGCAAAAAAGAGGAGGAGGACUGGUAUCGCUGUCUCCAUCGCAAACGCCACGUUCAAACGA